AAGGCCUGAUGGUUGCUGAGAGUCAGAGUAAAGCACAUUGUUGACUUUGCAUGGUAUAUAUAAGUCAGUUGACUUUACAUGCAUUUUUUGUUUAGAAAACCAAAAAGGUAUGAGAAUGUAUGUUGCGUUGAAUAUUGAAAGCUAAAUCAUAGAGUUUCAAUGGGUAAGAGAGUGAGGACGGUAAAGUAGUUGGAUACUCUCAUCAGAUACGCACAAAUCUUUUUCAAAUAACGUGUUAAUGUCAUGUGCCUUGUGCUAUCAAAAUUGAAGAUGAUAAGGCGAAUUACAAAUUAACUUUUUACUUCAGGCAACCCCCAAGUUCAAUAGUAGAGGUUGCUUGUGAAAGGGUCUCUCCGAACAUAGUCAUCCACGUCAACAUUAUUAAAGAG
rnacentral:lncRNA from 1 species